GAUGAACGCUGGCGGCGUGCCUAAUACAUGCAAGUAGAACGCUGAAGGAGGAGCUUGCUCUUCUGGAUGAGUUGCGAACGGGUGAGUAACGCGUAGGUAACCUGCCUGGUAGCGGGGGAUAACUAUUGGAAACGAUAGCUAAUACCGCAUGACAACAGUUAUUGCAUGAUAACUGUUUAAAAGGGGCAACUGCUCCACUACCAGAUGGACCUGCGUUGUAUUAGCUAGUUGGUGAGGUAACGGCUCACCAAGGCGACGAUACAUAGCCGGCCUGAGAGGGUGAUCGGCCACACUGGGACUGAGACACGGCCCCGGCUCCUACGGGAGGCAGCAGUAGGGAAUCAUCGGCAAUGGACGGAAGUCUGACCGAGCAACGCCGCGUGAGUGAAGAAGGUUUUCGGAUCGUAAAGCUCUGUUGUAAGAGAAGAAAGAGUGUGAGAGUGGAAAGUUCACACUGUGACGGUAUCUUACCAGAAAGGGACGGCUAACUACGUG
rnacentral:rRNA from 1 species